UUUCUAUCACCCUGCAUGUGCAUGAUCUCAUCUAAUCUUGGAAGCAAGGCAGGGUCGGGCCUGGUUAAUCAGGGUUGGGCUUGGUAAUGCUUGGAUAGGAGAAAU
rnacentral:rRNA from 1 species